rnacentral:rRNA from 1 species
AAUUUUGGACAAUGGGGGGAACCCUGAUCCAGCAAUCCCGCGUGUGCGAUGAAGGCCUUCGGGUUGUAAAGCACUUUUGUCAGGGAAGAAAUCGUACAGGCUAAUAUCCUGUGCGGAUGACGGUACCUGAAGAAUAAGCACCGGCUAACUACGUUCCAGCAGCCGCGGUAAUACGUAGGGGGCAAGCGUUGUCCGGAAUUAUCGGGCGUAAAGGGUGCGUAGGCGGCCUUUUAAGUCAGAUGUGAAAGCCCACGGCUUAACCGUGGGACUGCAUUUGAAACUGGAGGGCUUGAGUAUCGGAGAGGGUAGUGGAAUUCCCAGUGUAGCGGUGGAAUGCGUAGAUAUUGGGAGGAACACCAGUGGCGAAGGCGACUGCCUGGACGAUAACUGACGCUGAGGCACGAAAGCUAGGGGAGCAAACA